GUGUGGAAUCCCAGACGGGCACGGGACCAGACCAGAAGUAGAGCUCUCUGCUUCUCUCUGCCCCCUGGCAUGGCUGAGAUUGCCCUGUAAUUACAGGGUGACGGAGGGGUUAACGGUGGAUGUUGGAUAGGGCCCAUUGUUUAGGGAACGAUGGCGUGGGGGGGGAUAGCAGGAAGGAGAGCGAGGUAUGAUGUCAUUGCUGGUUUGGUUUGGAACGCGGCCGUCUGCCUGUGGUGGCGGGGCUGGGUAUGCGUGCGUGCGUGCGUGCGUGCGUGCGUGCGUGCGCGCGCCCGCGAGUGCAUGUGCACGCGCACACACAUUGAUAGAAGAUAUCAUAAAGAAAUGGAGUGAUGGCAAUCUGCAGCGAACAGGAGCAGUGUGUGUGUGUGUGUGUGUGUGUGUGGGUGUGCAUUUGCACGUGCGCGUGUGGGUAUGAAUGAUUGUGUGGUUGGAAAACCAUGCACUGUUUAAAAUGCCAUUUGCCCUUUGUUUGAAUGUUUUUCGACGGAUGGAUGCAGAAUGAAUCAUUUGGACGGAGGCUGAGAGAUAGCCAGCAGAGAGCAGAAAGAAGAAAGGAGCUUGUCACACAAAUCCAUUCCCGUAAAUGAUGUGGAUGAGCUUGCUAACUACCCUCGGAGGGCAUAGGCUGUUCCCUGACACUUGGAUGCCAUGAAGUCACUGUGGUUUGGACCAAUGAUGUCACCCGUUGCUAGAACAUCCAUGACAUCACCCUAUUGGCCCAUCACUCAUCUCACCCAAUCACACUCAAGAGUCAGACGCUAACCAGCAGAGAAGGAAGAAGACGGUCCAAAAAUGAAACCAAAUGAAAUGAGGGAAAGAGGAGAAGAGACUGGAAUAUUUUUUUCCUUUAAAGGUAAUCGUUUUUCUUUAAAUGGAUAAAGAGGAGAAGACUGAGAGAUUUGUACUAGAGAACAGGCAUUUAUGGCAGAGGUGUAGUUUUCCUCAAACCCAAACCACACACCUGGAGGUGCCUCUGUAUCAAUACACUAUACGUUGUACUAGGAUACUAAGCAAAGACAAGUUCAUUGUUAGUUUUUGUGGUUGGAGAUUAAACGUUAAAGUUUUUCCACCCGGCCUCGUUGAAAUUUGUGUGACGUUUGUAGUCAGUGUUUUGUUUCUUGUCUCACAGAGUUUUCCAUACGCACAAAAACCUUAUUUCUCUCAAAUUUGGUGAACAAAUUUGUUUACAUACUAGUUAGUGAACAUUUCUCCUUUGCCAAGAUAAUCCAUCCACCUGACAGGUAUGGCAUAUCAAGAAGCAGAUUAAACAGCAUGGUGCACCUUGUGCUGGGGACAAUAAAAGUCCAAAUAAAAAUGUGCACAGAUGUCUCAAGUUUUGAAGGAGCAUGCAAUUGGCAUGCUGACUGAAGGAAUGUCACCCAGAGCUGUUGCUCGAGAAAUUAAUGUUAAUUUCUCUACCAUAAGCCGGCUCCAACAUCGUUUUAGAGAUUUUGGCAGUACGUCCAACCAGCCCAGGACCUCCACAUCUGGCUUCUUCACCUGCGGGAUCGUCUGAGACCAGCCACCCGACAGCUGAUGAAACUGAGGAGUAUUUCUGUCUGUAAUAAAGCCCCUUUGUUGCGGAAAAACUAAUUCUGAUUGGCUGGACCUGGUUCCCCAGUGGGUGGGCCUGUGCCCUCCCAGGCCCACCCAUGGCUGCGCCCCUGCCCAGUCAUGUGAAAUCCAUAGAUUAGGGCCUAAUGAAUUUAUAUCAAUUUACUAAUUUCCUUAUUUGAACUGUAACUCAGUAAAAGUUUUGAAAUUGUUCCAUGUUGCGUUUAUAUAUAUUUUUUAAGUAUAUAUCAAUAUAAUAAUAGUUAGUCAAAAUCACUCUCAAAAUUCACUCUCAACAAAAUCACUCUCCAUUGAUUACUAGAGACUAAAACCGUUUCGUCUCGGCUGUUAGACGUGAGCUGGAUUUAAGAGGCGAUUGUUACUUUAUUUUAUCGUCAUUCAUUGAAUCAGGUGGAACGCAAAGCUCCAGGAAAGAGACUGAAUUGAAUCUGUAAUGUAUAUGUGUACAGUAUAUUAAUGGUGGUCUUUACACAGGGAGAGAGAUGCUCACUGCUCACGUCAAUAAUGUGCUAAUGGCUGUCUGGAAGGUUUUGGAGAUCUCCCUCUAAGGACUGGUUCGCGACUACGGGACAGAGGGGGGUCCGAUUUGUUUCUUUUGCCCUCAAGACGUGAUGACGAGCAGAUUAUAGGGGCUUAAAAAGGGCUUAAACCCCAGCCUAUCAACACGCCCCAUUAAAUAAACAAAUAAACAAUUCAAAACAUGGAUGAAAUAUCUGACAUUAGACAUAAAAUUUGGAGUGCUCACUCUUUGUCGCUCAUCUCUAUUAUUAUCAUUUCAAUAAGACAAAGAUGGAGGAGAAAAAAGGAUGUUUUUAAGAAUGGAAGAAAAGAGGAAAAGAAGAAAUCCACAAUACCCUUGGGCAUAUGUUGACACAUACACUACAUGACCAAAAGUAUGUGGACACCAGCUCAUCGAACAUCUCGUUCCAAAUUCAUGGGCAUUAAUAUGGAAUUUGCUGCUAUACCAUCCUCCACUCUUCUGGGAAGGCUUUCCACCAGAUGUUGGAACAUUGCUGCGGGAACUUGCUUCCAUUCAGCCACAAGAGUGUUUGUGAGGUCGGGCACUGUUGGCUCGCAUUCGGUGUUCCAAUUCAUCCCAAAGGUGUUCGAUGGGGUUGAGGUCAGUGCUCUGUGCAGGCCGGUCAAGUUCUUCCACACUGAUCUCGACAAACCAUUUAUGUAUAGCCCUUGCUUUGUGCAGGGGGGAUUUGUCUUGCCACAAAGUUGGAAGCACAGAAUCGUCUAGAAUGUCAUUGCUGCAACGUCAGGAGAAUGAUGGGUGUGGAGUCAGGCGCAGAGAGCAGACGUUUCACGGGAACAAACGCUAUAAUGUCUACAGUCAACAGGAACAGGUACAAAAAUGGGUGACGCCAAAACACAGGCGCAAACACAACCCAAAGACCACUGUUAAUAAACCGGACAGCGAAAACCCAAAAUCAAUAAUACACCUCCUACGUACAAUGACAACAAAUAAGCCUGCACAAACACUAGCGGGCGAAACGAAACUAAAUAGUACCCGUCCCAAAACCCCAACAAGGAACAGGUGAAAACAAUUAGACAGACAUAAACGAAAAGGAAAAAGGGAUCGGUGGCAGCUAGUAGACCGGCGACGACGACCGCCGAGCGCCACCCGAACGGGAAGGGGAGCCACCUUCGGUAGUAUUCGUGACAAUUGCAUGCUUUAGCAUUAAGAUUUCCCUUCACUGGAACUAAGGGGCCUAGCCCGAACCAAGAAAAACAGCCAGGUUCGUCCGUUGUAAUGCCAGAUGAUGAAGCGUGAUUCAUCACUCCAGAGAACACAUUUCCACUGUUCCAGAGUCCAAUGCCGGUGAGCUUUACACCACUCCAGCCGACGCUUGGCAUUGCGCAUGGUGAUCUUAAGCUUGUGUGCGGCUACUCUUCCAUGGAAACCCAUUUCAUGAAGCUCCAGACGAAUAGUUAUUGUGCUAACGUUGCUUUCAGAGGCAGUUUGGAACUUGAUAGUGAGUGUUGCAACCAAGGACAGACGAUAUUUACACGUUACGAGCUUCAGCACUCGGCCGUCCCGUUCUGUGCACUUGUGUGGCCUACCACUUCGCGCCUAAAGCCAUUGUUGCUCCUAGAAGUUUCUAUUUCACAAUAAAGCACGUACAGUUGACCGGGGCAGCUCUAGCAGGGCAGAAAUUUGACGAACUGACUUCUUGAAAAAGUGGCAUCCUAUGACGGUGCCACGUUGAAAGUCCCCAUCUCUUCAGUAAGGCCAUUCUACUGCCAAUGGAGAUUGCAUGGCUCUGUGCUCGAUUUUAAACACGUGUCAGCAAUGGGUGUGGCUGAAAUAGCCAAAUCCACAAAUUUGAAGGUGUGUCCACAUACUUUUGUAUAUAUAGUGUAGAUAGCUCUCCUAAGGACGUCUGAUCUUCUCUUUGUUUUAGCCAAGGCUUUAAUCCCAACCUUGGGUCCCCUCCUCCAGACAACGAUUAAAGAUCCUAAAUCUUUAGCUGUAAACUGCUCUCACGCAACUCCUUACUUAAAAGGGCCUUAUUUGUUUUCGAGAUCAAAUAUUUAAAUCUUUUCACCAUUCAUUAAUAUUGGUUUGCCAACUGUCUUAGAAGUCCACGGAAGAAGACUAUAUUUAAAUCUUUGGCCAUAAAUUAAUUGUUUUGAAAUGGGUGAAAAUGUACCAUCACUUAAUGAGAAAGAGAGCGAAACAAAUGUGAGGGAGAGGCAUCCCUCUCUGUCUGCUCCCUCCCUCCUUCCUUUUCUUCCUCAUUAAAUGGGGGGGGGCGGACGAUACAAAACAAACGUCCGUCCGAACGAACAGGCAAUCGACCACCAAGCUCAAAUUCAAACAUGCGAGUGAGACUGACGUAAAAAAAUAUAUAUAUUUUGUAAUGUAUAUUAACUCCGAGAGGCCCUUGUCACCUGACAGACCAUUGUUCUGUGUGGGCCCAGGCCUCGCCACAGGAGCAGGUUGCCUGCAUUGCUUAUGGAGAUUGGGCUUGGGGUCCGGCCGGGUGUCUGCCAGGCGGGGUUUAAAAAGGGGGGAGACAAUGGGAGGGAGGGGGGAGUGCGACGCCGACCCCAACAAACGGCGUGACCCUGAGCAGAUGGCUGGGCAGGGGCUCUGCUGAGCCAGAAUUAAUAACGUGUGCCAUGUCACAUUGUCUGAGACGGGCUGCCUAAAAAACAAACUGCUCCCCCCCCUCUUUUUCUCUGCCGCCUCCUCUCUCUCUGUCCUCUCAAGUCCCUCACUACCCCUACACUUACACUCCCCCUCCCUCUGCUCUCUCUCUCCCUCUCUAUUGCCCCCCCCCCCCCUCUAUUCCCCACCGCUCUGCCUCAUUCUGCUGUACCUUCUAUUCCUCUCCGUCUCCUUCCCUUUCAAUCUUUACUCUCCUCCCUCUCCCUCCCUUCUGCUCCUCCUCCCUCUGCCUUGUCCUUCUCCUUUUCUCUUGUCCUCCUCCUCCCUCCUCCCCACUCCACCCAACAGCUGGAACUACAGUCUCCGUGAGCCACCCCAUGGAGUACUCCUUCAAUGGCAACUUCACUCUUUUUACAAACACUCCUUCGCUCGCUCUCUCUCUCUCUCUCAUCCAUUCAUUCAUUCCCACCCAUACUCAUUUAUCUUGCUCUCAAUAGCUCAAAUAGACACUCAUUCACAGGUCUGCUCAUUCAGAAGGGUCUUUAUCGGCAGACAAAUAAGGCACCUGUGCUUCAAAAGCUCUCCCGCUGAAUGACUUUCUAUUCCGUUUCCUCACUUGCCCUCUAGCUCACUCAUUCGCUCACUCACUCCUCUCUCUUCCUCACCCACUCAUUCCCCUAUAUCUCUCUACCCAUAACAAACACUCUUCACUACUUUACAUUCCCUCCCCCCUACUGUAGCUCCUACAGCUCAUCAAAUAACAGUCCCUGCUAUCUAGUCUGGGGCGUGGAUCCUCCAACAAACAUUUCCGGGGCCUCUCCAGAAUCCGCAGGGUGGCUGGCAGGAAUGGGUCAGGAGGUCAGAGGGAUGUCGGAACCCCGCGACAGGCCCCCUCUCCUAAUCACCAGGCCACUUCCUGUCUCUCUGGGGGCCCCGGUUGUCCGCCAGAGAGAUGGAGAACCAGGGGGUCAGGGCCUUAGUGCAGCUCACUUGGCAGGCUCAUACUGUGUGUGUGUGUAUGUGUGUGUGUGUGUGUGUGUGUGUGUGUGUGUGUGUGUGUGUGUGUGUGUGUGUGUGUGUGUGUGUGUGUGUAGCAGAGAUGUAGGCGUAAGGAAUGGGGCCACAGUGUCUCCUGACCGCUCCUGUCUCAGCCUCCAGUAUUUAUGCUGCAGUAGUUUAUGUGUCGGGGGGCUAGGGUCAGUUGGUUAUACCUGGAGUACUUCUCCUGUCUUAUCCAGUGUCCUGUGUGAAUUUAAGUAUGCUCUCUCUAAUUCUCUCGUUCUCUCUUUCUCUCUGAGAACCUGAGCCCUAGGACCAUACGUCAGGACUACCGGGCAUGCUGACACCUUGCUGUCCCCAGUCCGCCCGGCCUUGCUGCUAUUCCAGUCUCAACUGUUUCUGCCUGCGGUUACGAAACCCCUACCUGUCCCAGACCUGCUGUUUUCAACUCUUAAUGAUCGGCUAUGAAAAGCCAACUGAGAUUUAUUCCUGAUUAUUAUUUGACCAUGCUUGUCAUUUAUGAACAUUUUGAAAAUCUUGGCUCUCUCUAAUUUUCUCCUUCUCUCUUUCUCUCGGAGGACCUGAGCCCUAGGACCAUACGUCGGGACUACCGGCCGUGGUGACUCCUUGCUGCCCCCAGUCCGCCUGGCCUUGCUGCUAUUCCAGUUUCAACUCUUCUGCCUGCGGUUAUGGAACCCCUACCUGUCCCAGACCUGCUGUUUUCAACUCUUAAUGAUCGGCUAUGAAAAGCCAACUGAGAUUUAUUCCUGAUUAUUAUUUGACCAUGCUUGUCAUUUAUGAACAUUUUGAAAAUCUUGGCUCUCUCUAAUUUUCUCCUUCUCUCUUUCUUUCUCUCGGAGGACCUGGGCCCUAGGACCAUGCGUCGGGACUGCCGCCCGUGGUGACUCCUUGCUGUCCCCAGUCCGCCUGGCCUUGCUGCUAUUCCAGUUUCAGCUGUUCUGCCUGCGGUUAUGGAACCGCCACCUGUCCCAGACCUGUUGUUUUUCAACUCUUAAUGAUCAGCUAUGAAAAGCCAACUGAAAAUUAUUCAUGAUUAUUAUUUGACCAUGCUUGUCACUUAUGAACAUUUUUGAACAUCUUGGCAUAGUUCUGUUAUAAUCUCCACCCGGCACAGCCAGAAGAGGACUGGCCACCCCUCAUAGCCUGGUUCCUCUCUAGGUUUCUUCCUAGGUUUUGGCCUUUCUAGGGAGUUUUUCCUAGCCACCGUGCUUCUACACCUGCAUUCUAGCUGUUUGGGGUUUUAGGCUGGGUUUCUGUACAGCACUUCGAGAUAUUAUCUGAUGUACGAAGGGCUAUAUAAAAUAAAAUUGAUUGAUUGAUUGAUUGAAGGAAUCAAGGGUCAGGGUUUGACAAAAGUUCAUUUGGCAAAGAUUUUGUCCCCCUCACCCAUAAAAAAAUGCUUCAGUUGACAAAAGUAAAGCUACCCAUCCAAACUUUACCUCCACCACAAUAGCAUUUAGCAUUUGCAACAAGCAAGAAAAAUAUCCAUCAUUGACAUUCUGGAGACCUGAAACAUCAAUGAAAGACUUCUGCUUUAUUUUGGUUCAACCAAACAAUUUUUCCUUUUUUCUUACAAGGUUCUAUGAGUUUCAACGUGUUGGCUUUGUUCAUGGGUUGCAUUGGGAUUUUGGCAUUUGUGGGACUGCUCCAAAAAAAGGAUUGUUUUUCUCAUGCUAAUUCUUAACAGAAAUGUUGUUGAAAUAUUAGUUGUUGCUAUGGUGUCUGACACUUUGUUUAUGCCAUGUACCAAGCUACAUCCUGUGGACUAAAUGCUACAGGGCUCAAGCUAAGUGACUGAACCAACUUUGUCUCAGUAGCUUAUUGUAGAAAAGCGGCACUAACCCAAACUAAACCAGUUGUUGAGCUUAGUUCACUGGAUAUGAAUAUCCCAUGAGAAUUUACACAAAGUGGAGAGAUUUAAUUUGGUUGGAAACCUUCAUUGUUAUGACAUUUUUUUCCUUUUCCUCCUUGAUCUCAUGUCUGGUUUAGAUUUGAGCAAGGAUCCUGUACAAGCCCUCGCUACAAUGAAAACCGCCCAAAACAUUGGACCGGGUACUCAUUGAACACAAUACUGCAUCCCAAGAUUCGAUAGAUACUAUUUCCACCGCAUCCUGACAACAAACAAAAUCAUUUGUGUCGAGGUUUGGAGAAAUAAGGCUGCCUAUAAUCAAAAGGGACUCAAAUAAAUCUUGAUUUUGGCACAUGCAUCACAAAGGGUCAAAAGAUCUCAUUCAAGAUUUACCCAACACACAAUGUGGAAGUAUGUAUUGACUCAUGGUUUCCAAGUACCCUGAAGACAGGAACAUGACUGUCACUUACAGUAAAAGUAUAUCUGCAGUAACAGACUGUCCAAUAAGGAUACUGCCCAUUCACAUCACUUACUGAGUCACCAUUGCCAUAGCAUGAAUGUAGUUACUAACACAAAUCAACAUAGUGUUCCAAAUUCCAUUUUGUAUAUUUUAUAUCAUACCAGCGGACCAAAUUUGUCUGACUUUUGACCAAACUUGUCUGACGUUAUUAGCUAGUUAAGGGAAACUACAGUAAGGCGAAUGGACAGCUCACAAAGCUUAUUGCAGAUGCCUUCAAAGCAUUCACAGUCUGUACAUUAAAUACGUUGAAAAAGCAACUUUAAAAAAAUGUCCAAAAGAGAACAUUUGAGUCACAACACCUUCUUUUGAGUACAAACUGAGCAAAGAAUCCACCCUUAGGUUGGGCUCUUAUUGUUCCUCAAGUUAUCUUUGAUAUGGACUUUUCAUACAAAGUGUGGCUGCAGGAGAGGAACCUCUCAGGUUGUGAUUCAUGCAUUUUUUUUUGCUGUGUCAUUGGUCUAAUACAUGUUUCAUUGAAUAGAUUCACAUAUCCCACGAUCACUGUGAAAACCAACUUGCAAUGUUAUCUCACUGUGACUAAGUCGUUCUUCUAAAUAUCUGUGGUUGUUUUAAUGGUAGGCUACAGAAAGACAGGGGCUGCGUACCAAUCCACUGGGCACAGACGUCAAUUCGACGUCUGAGCCACGUUGGUUCAACGUCAUUUCAUUGAAAUGAUGUGGAAACAACAAUUGGUCAACCAGUGUGUGCCCAGUGGGAAAUGGCACCGUAUUCCCUAUAUAGUGAUUUUUUUUUUUACCAGGGCCCAUCAAAAGUAGUGCACUAUGUAUGGAUGCCAGGGUUGCAUCCUCUCAUUUUCCCCUUCGAUAUCAUUCAGUCUUAGAGAACAAAAAAAUGAAAAAAGUUCAUCUGGAAGGGAGAGGUCCUUUUGUCCCGGAGGGGGGAAACAAACUUGAUGAGGUCUCUGGCAAAACAUUUGAUCUAUGCCAAAUGCGCAUCUGCUUUACUUGUGAAUGGCCGAUAUGAGACGCAUCAUCAUUUUCUUAGAACUAUUUUGGUGGCCUGCUCCGGAGUCUGGUCUUAGAAGAUUGGACAUUCCUUGCCAUUUACUGGUGUAAUAUGGAUGUGCCAGAAAACCAGUUCAUGGAAUACAGUAGCCGCAUUCUUGUAUUUAGAAAUGUGAGCCAAAAUCAAUUAAAGUUCCUUCACUGUAAUUGCAAAAUACAACAAGUUUUAGUUUCGGCAACAAACAAAAAAAUCAUUCACAGUCUUUUUUAAGGAUUUAACAUAUUCCAAGAGUAAGUCUCUUGUUUUCGGAAUAUAAUGCAUGAAACAUACUGCAUUUCAGAACUCGUGAACAACUGAGUGUUUUUAAUCAGACGAAGCAGCGGCCCAAGGCAAAGACUGAACUCUAAAAGGUACUGUGGCAAACGCAGCACACAGAGCCAGAGAGACCAGACCACACGCAUAUACUUUUUACUCAACUGUUUCCCUCAUAUGAAAUUAGAUUACAAUCUGCCAUGUACAACUUCACUGCUCCACCGGGGUGAUUCGAAAAUAAUUGUGGUCGCAGGUUCAAUAUCUAGGACCUGGAGAAAUGACAGAUUUUCAAUGUUUUGUUAAUAGGGUAUUUAUCAUUUCCGAUACGGGUAAGAAUAAAAAAUAUAUAUAUUUA